GCCUCAGUAGCAUAGUGGCUAAUGCGUUGCACUUGUAACACCUUUCGACACAUGCAAAGAUCGCAGGUUCAAGUCCUGCCUGAGGCA